rnacentral:rRNA from 1 species
UACGAAGGGGGGCUAGCGUUGUUCGGAAUCACUGGGCGUAAAGGGCGCGUAGGCGGCUUUGUAAGUUAGAGGUGAAAGCCCGGGGCUCAACCCCGGAAUUGCCUUUAAGACUGCAUCGCUAGAAUUGUGGAGAGGUAAGUGGAAUUCCGAGUGUAGAGGUGAAAUUCGUAGAUAUUCGGAAGAACACCAGUGGCGAAGGCGACUUACUGGACACAUAUUGACGCUGAGGUGCGAAAGCGUGGGGAGCAAACAGG